GGUGAUUUGAAUGCUUUGUUGAUGUUGAUUCAAUUUAUCCAAUUGGUGUUGAUCUUAGUCAUACAAAUCCAGUUAAGAGAUAAUGUUGAGCAGUGUGGACGAGUUGAAAUAUCAUGUUUGGCGCUCGGAUAUUGACAUUAUUCGGCAUGAGGUUUGCUUUAACCUCAAGGAUAUGAACAUUUGCUAUAGUUGUGGACAAAAAGAGCUGUUGAAGAUAGGAUAAUGGAUAUUUCAUCCGGUUCAAAUAUGUGUAUGGUUGCAUCUUCAGUUUGGGUUAUACAAAUGUGUAGGAAGUUCCAAAGAUUAGUUAUUUCAAGUCAAGAUAACUGCAAAGCUUGUCAAGUUUGUGAGGCAGGUUUUGAUGAUUUUAGAAGAAAUAUUGAAGCUGAGGUUGGUCCUAUUAGUUUAGAAGACUUCGAAACACAAAGGCUGCAGUCCAAUCUCCAGUUCAACAAGUUGUUUAAGAGAUUAUCGGGAGUGGAUAUCUUGUUCAUUCAAGUGGUAGUAGUAGUUCAAAGUUAGUUUGUGUUAGGUCUGGAUCUCAAAAUAUUUCAAAUGAUAAUUGACUAUAGUUGUAAUAGAA